rnacentral:rRNA from 1 species
GAUGAACGCUGGCGGCGUGCCUAAUACAUGCGAGUCGAGCGAACGGACGAGAAGCUUGCUUCUCUGAUGUUAGCGGCGGACGGGUGAGUAACACGUGGAUAACCUACCUAUAAGACUGGGAUAACUUCGGGAAACCGGAGCUAAUACCGGAUAAUAUUUUGAACCGCAUGAUUCAAAAGUGAAAGACGGUCUUGCUGUCACUUAUAGAUGGAUCCGCGCUGCAUUAGCUAGUUGGUAAGGUAACGGCUUACCAAGGCAACGAUGCAUAGCCGACCUGAGAGGGUGAUCGGCCACACUGGAACUGAGACACGGUCCAGACUCCUACGGGAGGCAGCAGUAGGGAAUCUUCCGCAAUGGGCGAAAGCCUGACGGAGCAACGCCGCGUGAGUGAUGAAGGUCUUCGGAUCGUAAAACUCUGUUAUUAGGGAAGAACAUAUGUGUAAGUAACUGUGCACAUCUUGACGGUACCUAAUCAGAAAGCCACGGCUAACUACGUG